UGGGGAAUCUUGGACAAUGGGCGCAAGCCUGAUCCAGCAAUGCCGCGUGGGUGAAGAAGGCCUUCGGGUUGUAAAGCCCUUUUGUUUGGGAGCAAAUCCUACGGGUUAAUACCCUGUGGGGAUGAGAGUACCAAAAGAAUAAGCACCGGCUAACUACGUGCCAGCAGCCGCGGUAAUACGUAGGGUGCAAGCGUUAAUCGGAAUUACUGGGCGUAAAGCGUGCGCAGGUGGUUUGCUAAGCGCGAUGUGAAAUCCCCGGGCUCAACCUGGGAAUGGCAUUGCGAACUGGCAGGCUAGAGUGUGGCAGAGGGGGGUGGAAUUCCACGUGUAGCAGUGAAAUGCGUAGAGAUGUGGAGGAACACCGAUGGCGAAGGCAGCCCCCUGGGCUAACACUGACACU
rnacentral:rRNA from 1 species